rnacentral:tRNA from 2 species
GAUGGGAUUCCCGAGUGGUUAAAGGGAGCAGACUGUAAAUCUGCCGUCUAAGACUUCGAAGGUUCGAAUCCUUCUCCCAUCA